GGAAGGACUGAAAGCUAUUUUACUGAAGAAACAGAGGGCUCUGAGAGAGCUGAAUGCUUUGCUGAGGUCACAAAACUGAGAAGUGGUGGAGCUGGGAAUGAAACUCAGUUUUCUCAUUCUGAAGUCCAUUCUCUGAACCAGGACACUCUGUGGCAUCCUCCCGUUCUUUCGAGCACAGCCAGGUCAGAAGCACACCUUCCCUUCACGGAAGUGGUUGAGUUGGCUUUGAGGUCUGGGAAUUCUGUCCCCAUACGUUCUGAUCUCGUUGUGGGAACACAGACACAUUUCCUUGCAUCUCGACAAUCACUCUUUAACUUUUGGAGUUUUCUAGUCUCUGUUUAUUGUCUUUUACUCCAACCCCAAUUCACCCUUUCACCCUGCACACCCCUCAGCCCUGCAAUUCUGCUGUGGGACACUGUACAUGUGGCCUCUGAUAAGAACCGCUCCAUUCAGAGUCGCUGGCAGGUAGGUGUCCUAGUUGCUCAAACAUGCGUGAAGGUCUCCACUCCUCAGAUUUCACUGCUGUGGAACCUGGAACUGUUUGGUUGGCCUUCUUCUGUUCUUUUGGAGAUAGUGUGUUUCACCCUCCAGGAAUGUUCCAGACAUUGCAAAUAAGAAGAGUGAAGGAUGACAGAUCAAUUAGCUGAGAGAUAAAAAAUGAGAAGACUGGGGGGACAUUGGUACUGGAAAAUUUCACUUACCUGAGCAGCCAGGAUCCAGGGGAAGCUGACGUUGAAGAGAGGAUAAAUACAAAGUGUUUCCUGGUGCCUUUACUAAUGUGGCAAUAGAAAGAACAAGCUCAAGAAAUUCAAUCAAAGUUGCAGAUAAUAGCAACUUCCCAUUGCUUUAAAAAGUAAUAAUAACCACAACACACUAUGAGAUAAAGCUCCAGGAGAAACAAUAAAGAGAAGAAAUGCACCUUUGAGAGUUGGGGUUCUAAAUGGCAAUAAUCACUUGCCAAAGAUUAUCGUGUGACUAUUAGCCACAACUAUUCCUCAUCCAGCAAGAGCUGAGGAUCAUAAGGCCAUCAGAGAUUCAUCCUGUGUGAAAGGUGAGAUUGCAAUGCUCAAAUGCUUAUGAGGCCUGAGCCCCAUCACUAAGUUGAAAAGCAUUUAUUUUCUUAAAACUGAAUUAUCAAAUGUGGGAAGGGGCAUAAGGGGCUGCCUUAUUAGGAAAAACAUUCAUAAUGCUGGAUUUAGUUAAGUAGUGAACAGUUUUCAAUAUGCUCUGAAAUUAGAAAAACAAAAUGCUAAUUCUGUAAGGAAAUUAACUCAAAACCAGGAACAGCAAAUAUCAUUAUGAUGUUCAAUUGAAUACAUCGGUCAUGAAUGCUAACAUAAUUGAACGGAUGCAGAUAGGCUGCAGAAUUAUACGUUUCUCUCUAACUUUUCAUGGCCUGGUUUAUUAUUUUAUUUGAGUAAAUCAUGGCAAUGUAUGGUCUUCACACAUCCAAAGCCUUCUUGAAGCCAGGGUGUGCCCACUAGCAGGCAAGGCCUGUUGCAGCAUUGAAAU
rnacentral:lncRNA from 1 species